UCUAUGACCACAGUACAUGCUUUGUGAUGGUGGUCCGCUAUGAAAGGCGCUAUAUAAAAUAAAGAUUGAUUGAUUGAUUGACUGAUUGACAAUAAGACCUUUAGCUAGCUGCUUGGAGGAAGGGCGGUCAGUCUAGCCAUGGAUUCCCAGAGGUUUCGUUUCUUGUGUUCUGAGAUCUGUUUUAUGUUUGUCAAGAGGGCGGGGCGGAGGCUGUGAACUGCACCACGUGUGAGAAGAAGAAACUGGACUGCUGGACGUACAAGAAAUGCUACCCAGACAGGCUGGAUUUGGCUGAAACUCUUUUAGUGAUUGCGUACUGCAGCGCUGGAUUCAUCUGCCUUGGCUUGAUCACGUGUGGCUUUGAGUACAGGAAAUACAAAUAAGGAGGCUGUGUAUUGAAUAAAAUGAGAGUAUUCUGCUUGAUGGAGUCUGCAUUCAAUUCAAUAUUACUGUUGGUAAACUAAUAACUGGUGGUGAUCGUUAUAGGUAGCGUUUGCCCAAAAGGGAGGGUAACAAUUUGACAUUAAACAUAGUAGAGGCACAAUAUUAUUUAUUUCUUAGCAGACGCCCUUAUCCAGGGCGACUUACAAUUGUUACAAGAUAUCACAUUAUUUUUACAUACAAUUCCCCAUUUAUACAGUUGGGUUUUUUACUGGAGCAAUCUAGGUAAAGUACCUUGCUCAAGGGUACAGCAGCAGUGUCCCCCCCACCUGGGAUUGAACCCACGACCCUCCAGGUCAAGAGUCCAGAGCCCUAACCACUACUCCACACUGCUGUAAACACAUGCUGUUUAUUCUUAUAUGGUUCAGCACCCCGGUCCGGUUAGUACAGGACAUGAACCAAAUAUAACGUGCAAGGGUUGACUGGCAAAAGUACACAAAAGUUUUUAAAGCCAAAAGUCCAGAUGACAUCACAAUGCAACGUCGUGACGCCAAAGCCCGCGUUGGCGCGCCUGUCACAAACAAGUCAGGCGCCGGGAGGUGUAUAAAAAAGCGGUCGCCUUUAGUUUAUUUUUUCAAAACGCUGGAAAAAUUAAAAAUGGCCAAGUCUAGGAAACGCGCCGCCCGCAAAGCUCAGAGGAAAAGACACUUCAAGAGAAAAACGGUGAAUACCGAACUGAAGCAUCAAGCGAGGAGAAAGGGGAAAGCAAAUAAAACGGCCGACUUGAAAUAGGAGGAAGAGAAAGGGGGGAAAAAAAGGAGAGGACAUGAGCGUCUUGCUCGUGCAAUGACUAUUUCAAUCUCUUUACUUGU